ACAUCUCCAGUGAAUACUCGGAUCCUUACAACCAGCAGUGGAAGUCUAAAUCGUGGUAUAAGAAUAGGAGAAGUGAUAUUGCGGCUGGUGAAGAGCUGAUAACGAAUACAGAUCGUAUUAAGUUUCAUGGAGUGAUGAACAGCCACAUCCUGACAAUCAAUAAACUGAACAAGAAUGACUCAGCAGAAUACAUAUUCAGAAUAGGAAGUGAUGCAGGGAGAUGGCCGGCUGCUCCUGGGGUGACUUUGGUCGUCACAGAUCUGAAGGUGAAGUUUAGUCCUUCUGAGGAGGUGACCGAGGGACAGAGAGUCACGCUGACCUGCAGAACCAGUUGUCCUCUGACGGACAACAUGAACUACAUUUGGUACUUGAACAAUCAACCUCUGAAUCUGACAAAAACACAAAGCAAGUACCUGGUUCUAGACCCCGUCAGCAGUGAACAUGCAGGAAACUACUCCUGCAAGGUUAAAAUGCUCCAAAAGAGCUCUCGUCAAAAGAUGCUCACUGUCCACAGAAGAAGAAAAUGGACUCAAGCAACCAUAGAAUAUGUUGCUCUUCUCCUGGUUAUAAUACCCAUCUUCGUCUUCUUGUGGAUUAGAAGAAAGAUGACUUCCAUCCAGUCUCCUAGAACUGAAACCUCUGUCAACUUGGAGGAGAUAAGCCCUGGUCAAGUGUACGACGACAUCUCGGCUCAACCAAUAGAGGAGGAUGAUAUUCUCUAUAGCAGCGUCCAACUCCCCAACAACAGAGAUGCUCUCUACUCACAAAUCCAGCCACAUCAGCCCCAAGAAGAAGAGCAAAGCCCCUAUGCUGUUGUCAGCUUUACACCCAAAACAACACCUGAGUAAACACAGUCUAUAAAUGCAUUUCUAUUUCCACUUUCAGGCAAACUGGCCUGUUAGUGGACCUCUAAAAUUAGUACAUCGCCAUAAACAAAGGGCUAUUUGAUCUGAUAUUUCCCCCUCCAUUAAAAAAAGAAAUCUCCUUCCACACGAAUUUUGUUUUCCUCAAUAUCUCUGAUGGUAUCUCUGUCACGACGAGAGCAACAAGACUACAAACACUCAAACAAGCAUGCUGGGCCAGUAGGUGGCGAUAAAGUCGAGGAUCAACAAUCCACCAAACAAGGACAUUUUCCGUUUUGUAAAAUAUCAGCAUUAGCGUGGACAAGGUGAUGUAUGGAACAUGAUAACUGUUCCUGUCAUUAUCUCUGCAUUGCACUUACUGUGCGUUGAGGGGCAUCAGUUUGCUGUGCAGCUUCCUGUGAUGCACAUCUCCAGCUUCUUGAUGCCUCAACAGCACAUUUGAGAGCCCUGACAAACAGUCACUGUUUUAGGAAGCAGGAAGUUUUAGUUUCAGUGACCAGUCUGUUAAAACUACAUUACUGACUGGUACUCUUCACUGUGCAUCAACAACCCUUAAAUAAAUACUACUACUUCUGUGAAAUGUUGGGAUCAUGACUUAAUCAAGGUUACAACAAAAUGUUCUGUAGCGUUAUUGAUUAUCCUGCAUGAUACAAAAUACCCACGUUUCCGACACACAGUGGAGAUUCUAAAGUCUAUUGGGGCCCCAAGCAAAGAUUCCCAGGGGGCCCCUCAAACAGCGUUCGUCACAUUAUGUUAUAAAUUAUCUUACAUCAACGAAAGGUACGAAGUGUAAACAGUUGUUUCAUUUCAAAUGUUUUCACUUACAUCAGUACAUUUUCUAAAAAACUAAAACAAGAACAUUCCAAACCUUCUAAUUUUCUGAAUAUAAAUAUAAACAACCUUAAAAAACAUCAAUGAAUAAACACUGUAAAUGUAACGCUAGCUUAAAUUUAAGUGUAUCUCCCAUUAGCCAAUGCUAAUGACAGCAUUCAGUUAAACUGUUAUACUUAAUUAUCUGCCUCACUUACCACGGUCGUGCUUUCUCCAGCGAGAUAUUUUACACACCAUCUUAGAAAUUAAUAAAAUCUUAUAAACGGUUGGCGAAGGUUAACAUUACAGGCUGGUUUACCAGAUCAGAAAUCUCCUAGCUAAAAUGUUAACUAAUCUCUAGGCCGAUGAUAGCUAAUAAUAGUUAUAUUACUUCUUUCUCUAACAUUAGAUUCAAAUAAAGAACUUUUAAAAUAAACUGUUUAUGUUCAUAUUUACUUGGGUAACAACAGAUCUCGCGUUACAGGAAGCUAACGUACGGUUCUUUGAAAAAGAGAAAAAUACUCACCCAGCAUGAAGUGACUUGCUGAUGCCUGUUUUCAGCGACUGCUAACUUUAACCAUGUUGGCUAAUGGUCGUCUCUAAAUGUCACUGAAGUCAAAGGCACAGAAAAAAGAUGCAAGUCGAGUAGUUCUUCUUACACAUUUACUAGCUGGAUGCAGCUACGCUAGCUAAAGAGCUAAAUCUUUACUUGCUAAGAUGGGACUUUUGUAAAGUCAUGCUAGCAACCCUGUAGGCUAAAGCUAGCUAAGCUUAACUACUUGCUUCCUAAACAAUUAAUUUGUUUUCAGGAAUUUCAGAUUCUGUUUUAAAACAAUUCUCAUUUGGGUAUCAGCCGUUAAGUUACAGAAAGCUGACGGCUAAAAAAUCUGACAUCAAAGGAUUUUUCUGUGGUGAAGCCUUAUGCUAUUGACUGAAGCUAAUAGGCUAACAUUUUUGUGUUUUUAAUUAUUUGUGGUGACUAAUGUCAAGCUAAAUGUGUCUAUACUUCUACAUUAUUUGCAUUUACACUAUAUUUUUGAUUUAUAUAACGCAUGUAUAUAUAUAUAUCUCUAAUGAAAUAUUUGUUAUGUCAUCUCUUCUGGCUUCAUUCUUACCAAAUAUUUUUUAUAGCACCAGAAUUAAUAAAUAUGUUUUUAUACUGCA